rnacentral:lncRNA from 1 species
CAUGGUGUGGGUCCUGUCUACAGCUCUCCAGGAAGGCAGCAAGAGAGAGGAAAGCUCGAUGCAGACAUGCAUGCCCUUCACAUGCUGCUGAUGGCAUAAUUUACCCGGCAGCUGUCACAGCUGUUGCCCCUUAGCCCCAAAUACCUGGGCUGGCAACGUCUGUGUGGGGGGAGCUGGGGCCAGAGCUUUGGGGCAGCUGCGUCUGAGCUCUGGGCUGGGAAAGCUGCGCCUUUGCUCCGUGCUCAGCGCGCUGGGGUUACGGCUCUGCAGGGAAGAACAAGCUCCCAGGGCAAAGCUGCCGCGUGGUUUGUGCUGCCCAACCUUUGGAGUCCCAGGGGACUCCUUGGAGAGGCUGCAUGCAGCGUUCCUGGCUUUCAGGCUUUGAGAUUAUUAUGUGGUGGUAGUUCACAGGCUCUUCAGAAUGGCUGUGGAAGAUCCAGCCGCUUAGGAACACGCGUCACGAGACGUUCUGGCACUGUCAGGGUCCCAGGUAGGUGCUGCAGGCUUCCCACUGUUCGGCUUUGGUGAGCUGUGUGUAGGCACGCCAAAGUAACAGCCAGGGUGCAGAUAUUUGAUGUGGGUUUCUGCACCGACAGCUGAUCCAAGUGUGUUGAGAUAAAAGGGGAGGUUACCUCUGCCUGUCCUGAAACGGCUCUCGUAUCUGGUUUUAUACGAGGGGUUCUCUGUGGUCUCUGGGAUCGUUUUGCAGGCGUGGUGUGUGAAAUUCAUAAAGAGUUCCACAGGGAGUGCUGAAAGUGCUUUCCACACCGCUGCCAGUGGUGCGGGAGUGCCCAGCACCUGGGAACGUGCUGAGUUCUCUGCGUGCCAGACCGGCUGUGUGCCAGGCUAAUGUGAAAUGGUGCAGCUCUGCCCCUUGCAACCAUGCCUGUGACGGUCUGACUUGCCUCUUGCUAAACCAGAGGACAAAAUACAAAACAGCGCAAGGUUUCUCAAGCCAUGCGCCCCAGUUCUUCCCUAGAAGUGCUAGAAACACCCUGAAGUUUGUCUGGAAAAUCUUGCUGCUGCUGACUCCAUGUGGGAGUGAUGCUGCUGGGGAGGCAGCAGAGUAAAAUCUGUAAAUAACACUGUGUUUUUAUGCAGUAUAUAUUAUCAGAACAUGCAAAAUAUUUAUUAUGUAAUAUUCUUACUAUAUAUUUAUUAUAUUAUUAAAAUUACUUAGCUUGCUU